GAUGAACGCUGGCGGCGUGCCUAAUACAUGCAAGUCGAGCGAACGGACGAGAAGCUUGCUUCUCUGAUGUUAGCGGCGGACGGGUGAGUAACACGUGGAUAACCUACCUAUAAGACUGGGAUAACUUCGGGAAACCGGAGCUAAUACCGGAUAAUAUUUUGAACCGCAUGGUUCAAAAGUGAAAGACGGUCUUGCUGUCACUUAUAGAUGGAUCCGCGCUGCAUUAGCUAGUUGGUAAGGUACGGCUUACCAAGGCAACGAUGCAUAGCCGACCUGAGAGGGUGAUAGGCCACACUGGAACUGAGACACGGUCCAGACUCCUACGGGAGGCAGCAGUAGGGAAUCUUCCGCAAUGGGCGAAAGCCUGACGGAGCAACGCCGCGUGAGUGAUGAAGGUCUUCGGAUCGUAAAACUCUGUUAUUAGGGAAGAACAUAUGUGUAAGUAACUGUGCACAUCUUGACGGUACCUAAUCAGAAAGCCACGGCUAACUACGUG
rnacentral:rRNA from 1 species